rnacentral:lncRNA from 1 species
ACUUGCCAGAACUUAUAGGAUACAGAAAAAGCAACGCGAAGAGAAUCUGUAGCAAUAAACACCUCCUUCGAUAAAAAGGAAAGACGUCAGAUGAACAACUGGGCUUCACACCUCAAGGAACAACAUAACAAGAAGAAACUGGGCCAGAAGUCAGCAGAAGGAAGCGAGUUAUAAAGAUCAAAGAAAACCAAGUAAGCUGGGAAGACAGAAGAAGAAAGCAACUGAAAGCUGGCAUUUGAAAAGAUAAAAUUGACAGAGCUUUAGCCAGACUAACCAAGAAAGAGGCGAUGCAAUUGAUGCUACAGAAGUGCAAAGGGUUCUGAGAGACUACUGUCUUCUUGGCCUCUCGGUGUUCACAGGACAGCGGAGUCGCCUAAGACGCAUCUGUGGGAAUGGAUCCCCACCCCGAGGCGGCCCAAGGCUGCAUACGGGAUGGAGAAAGUUGACUCCAAAGCUGAGAACAGAGCCAUGGUUAUCAGGCAUUGCAUGGUGGGGGAAAUGGAGCCAUGUAGGUGUGGAGAUGCAAACUAAGCUGUAAGAAGCCCUGUCAGACCUGUGGAGGAGGAUUAUAGAAGUCCACUCUCCUGCUCUCUCUGCUUACCCCAUGAUCAUGUCUGUGGCAUGGAGGGACCCACCAGGCCCUCCUGGAAGGGUGCUUUGUUUGGUGUCUCCUCCAUGGACGCUGGGCUCCCUGCUCCCAGUCCCGCUUCACGUGGACGCCACUGCCCCGCCCUCAUCCUGUCCACGUGCUGGGAUUUUUCCUGCAAUUAGAUAUUCUCUUGGAUCUUCAGACGUUCCCUCUACUGAAAUAUUCUCCGGUCCACUCAAAGAGAGUAAGAAAAGGCCUUCUGUGGCCAUUAGCCCACUUGUUAUAAGCACGGUUAUUCUGCUUUUCACUUUCUCCGCCUUGCCCAUGGCCUGUGUCUGCAUGCAUCUUCCCCCCCGACUGCAAGCUGAGCUUAUCUGGUGGUUUGUUCCGUCUUUGGCACUAGGCGGCUCACUCCAAACAGUACAGUCUCCCCGUUUUGGUAGUGGCCAAACCCCUAGUAUGUGGAGUACUGUCUAG